rnacentral:rRNA from 1 species
AUUUAAUACUAUAAAUAAGUUAGAAUGUAUUUGAUCCCAUAUCGAACUCAUAUGAAUAAAAUCUAACUUAGUUGUAUGUACUAAAAUAUUUGGGAGAGGCAAUUUAGAUUAAAU